GUUUUUUUUUUUCAGGAACACAUACACUAAAAAUGGAACAAUUCAGAGAAAAUUAUCAUAGCCCUGCAUAUGGAUAGCACGGGAUCUUGUCAAGCACCCUGUGCAUUU
ensembl:snRNA U6 U6 spliceosomal RNA